rnacentral:rRNA from 1 species
ACGCUGUAAACGAUGAUUACUAGGUGUGGGGGGACUGACCCCUUCCGUGCCGCAGUUAACACAAUAAGUAAUCCACCUGGGGAGUACGGCCGCAAGGUUGAAACUCAAAGGAAUUGACGGGGGCCCGCACAAGCAGUGGAGUAUGUGGUUUAAUUCGAAGCAACGCGAAGAACCUUACCAGGUCUUGACAUCGAGUGCAUAACUAAGAGAUUAGUGAAAUUCCUUCGGGAACACUUAGACAGGUGGUGCAUGGUUGUCGUCAGCUCGUGUCGUGAGAUGUUGGGUUAAGUCCCGCAACGAGCGCAACCCUUGUCUUUAGUAGCCAGCAGUUCGGCUGGGCACUCUAGAGAGACUGCCAGGGAUAACCUGGAGGAAGGUGGGGAUGACGUCAAAUCAUCAUGCCCCUUAUGAUUUGGGCUACACACGUGCUACAAUGGCGUAAACAAAGGGAAGCAGAGUCGUGAGGCCGAGCAAAUCCCAAAAAUAACGUCUCAGUUCGGAUUGUAGUCUGCAACUCGACUACAUGAAGCUGGAAUCGCUAGUAAUCGCGAAUCAGAAUGUCGCGGUGAAUACGUUCCCGGGUCUUGUACACACCGCCCGUCACACCAUGGGAGUUGGGAAUGCCCGAAGCCAGUGACCUAACCGUAAGGAAGGGGCUGUCGAAGGCAGGCUCGAUAACUGGGGUG